GCUGGCAUGGCGCAACUGGUAGAGCAACUGACUUGUAAUCAGUAGGUUCCGGGUUCAAGUCCUGGUGCCAGCACCA
rnacentral:tRNA from 1 species